rnacentral:tRNA from 1 species
GGAUAUAGCUCAGUUGGUAGAGUACUUGCCUCACAUGCAUGAGGCCCUGGGUUCAAUCCCCAGCACCA